CCUACGGGUGGCAGCAGUGGGGAAUAUUGGACAAUGGGCGAAAGCCUGAUCCAGCCAUGCCGCGUGUGUGAAGAAGGCCUUCGGGUUGUAAAGCACUUUCAGUGGGGAAGAAAGCCUUGGGGCUAAUACCCUCGAGGAAGGACAUCACCCACAGAAGAAGCAUCGGCUAACUCCGUGCCAGCAGCCGCGGUAAUACGGAGGGUGCGAGCGUUAAUCGGAAUUACUGGGCGUAAAGCGCGCGUAGGCGGUCUGAUAAGCCGGUUGUGAAAGCCCCGGGCUCAACCUGGGAACGGCAUCCGGAACUGUCAGGCUAGAGUGCAGGAGAGGAAGGUAGAAUUCCCGGUGUAGCGGUGAAAUGCGUAGAGAUCGGGAGGAAUACCAGUGGCGAAGGCGGCCUUCUGGACUGACACUGACGCUGAGGUGCGAAAGCGUGGGUAGCAAACAGGAUUAGAUACCCCGGUAGUC
rnacentral:rRNA from 1 species